rnacentral:tRNA from 1 species
GGGCCCGUAGCUCAGCCUGGUGGGAGCCCCGUUUGUGGUACAGGUGGUCGUGGUUCAAAUCCCGUCGGUCACCC